UUCUCUCUCCCUUCACUUGUCUAAGAGACGAGAGGCCAUGUGAGAGCCCUUCACCAGGCACAGAGCUCAGAGCAGUCGCCUAGCUAGCAUACACACUGCUUUCCCUCUCUCUCUCACACACAGACGUGCUGGAGUACGGCUCUGCUCUCUUCUCUCUCCAAAUCUCCAGUAGCUCUUAACCCUUUCCUACCACAUCCAACCCAGUUUCCCAAAACUAUUUUAAAAAAACACAAUUUGGAUAAAAAUUCCUCUUCUCCCUUUCCUUGUCUAAACCCUGGGAAUAUUGGGAUUAAGGCCGUCCAUGACUAAUUUGUCCCCCCAGAUUAAUGAGCCUGUGGAUUAGUUCCAGCAGGGCUGCCUGAAAGGACUGGCACCGCUCGCAGGAAACCAACCAUUAAUGCUGUUUGGAACGCAUGACUCGUCCUCUCGCUCCCUUCCUCCUCCCUUCAUCCCCGUCUUCUUACUCUCCAAUGCAAAACAUGGUCGUUUUAAAGGAGACUGCAGUAGAAAGACAACCUUUUGAGACGCGGGGAGAUGAGCUGGGGGUAGAGAGGUUCUCAAACUGAAUGUGGUUUUUACCUGAGGUGGACAGCAGGACAGAUAGAGUUGGUGUUGGAGGGAAUUGGUAGUGUGUUCUACGAAAUGGGAAGAUGAAACGGUUUGGAGGUGGGAGAAAUGGUAUCCCUCUAGAUCAAAGGUAGGGCUGAUUUUAGUAGACCAGCGUCUGUGUCCAGGGUUUUGAGUGUGUGUGUGUGCUCUUCGUAGUGUGUGUACUGGAGGCAGUGAGGCAUGCGCUCCAGACGGAGCUCUUUGAUUAAAACGAGAGGAGAGGAGGAGGAGGGCAGAUUUAAUCCUGUAGCGUCCACUCUCCUCCCUUCCCUUGUUCUUCUUCUCCUCCGCUAGCCCUGAGCCCUCUCUCCCUCCCUUGUUCCCCGCUCGGCGCCGCUAGACAUGGCUGCUGUGUUUGAGCAUAAACCCAACGGCAUCUUGUUUUUCUAGCCUUCAGGGUUUUUUCCUCCCCUCCCUCCCUCUGUCUCUCUCUCCCUCCUUCGCUUCCUCUCUCCCUGGCUCCCUCCCUCCUUCAGCGGGCCCCCGACAGGAAGCUUUUCUAACUGCCUGCGUGUGAUAAGCCACAAGCAGCUCCCUGGGGCCGCCCUCUCUCUCUCUCUCUCUCUCUCUCUCUCUCUCUCUCUCUCUCUCUCACGCACACAGCGCAGCACGGAACAGCAGACAGUGAGCACUGUAGAGAAUGCAAGAGCAAGAGAGAGAGACACACACACACACACACGGAGGCUCGGCAGCGCUUUACACUCCUCUCCCCAUUCAGCUGCUCCCCAGCCGCAGCGCUACACAGCUAACCAUUUCAAGUGCUAUCGAUUGAACAGCGCCUGUUGUUCGUCACCUACCCGUGUGUGUGUGUGUGAGGGGGGGGGGGGUUACACAUAUCCAUUCUCACAUAAGGAUUAUUCACAAACCAACUGAAUUCACAGAGCGCCCCCAGAAAAGCCUUUGUGUUUAUGUGUGUGACAGAUGUUGAAAACCCCAACCACGGUGCUACAGCCAAUAAUUACAGCUAAUGUUGAAAAGCUGGAGCCACUGGUGUCACAUCAGAAGUGUAGAGCCAUGCUAACCCGUUCCCUCUCUCUCCUUCUCUCUCUUUAACCCCCUCAGUCCCAGAAACUGGCUGCUCCUAUCAG
rnacentral:lncRNA from 13 species